CUAGCUGCAAGGGAAAAUACUAGAAUUUACAUUUAUGUUUGAAUUGAUGUCAUGUACAAUAUACAGUAAUUCAAAAGAGUACCUGUGCCACAGGAUAAAGACAAGAGUUCUGCUUUGCUUUAAAGACUGACUGCUUCACACUUUAUUGUGCUGCUGCAAGACUCUGACUAAAGCUGAGUUCCAUACAAAGUGCAUAGAACCUAGUUGACUUUAUUUGCCUUAAACUGGCUUAAGUUUAUGUUGGCUCAAGGUCUUUAUCCCUUUUCACAUCAAUACGUUUGACAAUUUACAUCCCAAUUCUGUCAGCUGUUGCUUUGGUGGAAUUCAGAAGACUGCAGCAAAUUAAACAGCACCUUGUAUGAAGUGGAAAGGGCAGAGUGGUCUAGGUGGACUGAUAAGCAAUAUAAGGUCUCAUCUGCAAACUGGCCAGUUUACUUUGAUCUUGUUUAGACAAUGGAAUCAAUGCACUUUUAGCUACUUCCAUCUACUUGGUGCAUCUUAGUCUGUGCAGAGUUUAAAGAAAUGUGUGCAAAACAGGAACAAAGCAGG